UGAAUACGAGACGCUAAGGCGUCGAAGUAGUGUAUGUCAUACUUCCAAGAAAAGCUUGCACUGUCAUAGAUAAAAAACGCCUGUACCAUAACCGACACAGGUGGGUAGGUAGAGUAUACUAAGGGGCGCGAGAUAACUCUCUCUAAGGAACUCGGCAAAAUAACUCCGUAACUUCGGGAGAAGGAGUGCCUUAUUCGUAAGGUUGCAAUAACAAGAUCCAAGCAACUGUUUAUCAAAAACACAGGUCUCCGCUAAGUCGUAAGACGAUGUAUGGGGGCUGACGCCUGCCCAGUGCCAGAAGGUUAAAGAAGUUGGUUAGCAAUUGCGAAGCUGAUAACUGAAGCCCUGGUGAACGGCGGCCGUAACAAUAACGGUCCUAAGGUAGCGAAAUUCCUUGUCGGGUAAGUUCCGACCCGCACGAAAGGCGUAAUGAUUUGGAUACUGUCUCGGAGAGGGGCUCGGUGAAAUAGACUUGUCUGUGAAGAUGCGGACUACCUGCACCAGGACAGAAAGACCCUAUGAAGCUUUACUGUAACUUGAAAUUGAAAUUGGACUUUAUUCGCGCAGUAUAGGUGGGAGGCGUUGAUUAUAAUCUUGUGGGAUUAUUGGAGCCAUCAGUGAGAUACCACUCUUGUAAUGUUAGAUUUCUAACUUUGAAUCAUUAUCUGGUCAAAGAACAGUUUCAGGCGGGCAGUUUGACUGGGGCGGUCGCCUCCUAAACGGUAACGGAGGCGUACAAAGGUUUCCUCUGAACGGUUAGAAAUCGUAUCUAGAGUGUAAAGGCAUAAGGAAGCUUGACUGUGAGACCUACAAGUCGAGCAGGGACGAAAGUCGGUCUUAGUGAUCUGACGGUACUGAGUGGAAAGGCCGUCACUCAACGGAUAAAAGUUACUCUAAGGAUAACAGGCUGAUCUCCCCCAAGAGUUCACAUCGACGGGGAGGUUUGGCACCUCGAUGUCGGCUCAUCGCAUCCUGGGGCGGUAGUACGUCCCAAGGGUUGGGCUGUUCGCCCAUGAAAGCGGUACGCGAGCUGGGUUCAGAACGUCGUGAGACAGUUCGGUCCAUAUCCGGUGUAGGCGUUAGAAUAUUGAGAGGAGCCUUCUUUAGUACGAGAGGACCGAGAAGGACAUACCUCUGGUGUACCAGUUAUCGUGCCAACGGUAAACGCUGGGUAGCUAUGUAUGGAGUGGAUAACCGCUGAAAGCAUCUAAGUGGGAAGCCCACCUCAAGAUAAGUUUUCUCAG
rnacentral:rRNA from 1 species